GACGUCCUGCCGGUGGCGGUCCGGGCUUUCGGCUUUGUGUAGGUUCGCCGAAGCAAGCCGAUAGUUCCGGCCGCCGAUUCAAUCCCGCCGCGGUGCUCUUAACUGAGUGUCGAGGUGGGCCGGCACGUUUACUUUGAACAAAUUAGAGUGCUUAAAGCAGGCUGAUUUCCGCCUGAAUACUGUGUGCAUGGAAUAAUGGAAUAGGACUUCGGUUCUAUUUUGUUGGUUUUAAGAAUCCGAAGUAAUGAUUAAUAGGGACAGGCGGGGGCAUUCGUAUUGCGACGUUAGAGGUGAAAUUCUUGGAUCGUCGCAAGACGUACCUAAGCGAAAGCAUUUGCCAAGUAUGUCCUCGUUAAUCAAGAACGAAAGUUAGAGGUUCGAAGGCGAUCAGAUACCGCCCUAGUUCUAACCAUAAACGAUGCCAGCCAGCGAUCCGCCAAAGUUCCUCCGAUGACUUGGCGGGCAGCUUCCGGGAAACCAAAGCUUUUGGGUUCCGGGGGAAGUAUGGUUGCAAAGCUGAAACUUAAAGGAAUUGACGGAAGGGCACCACCAGGAGUGGAGCCUGCGGCUUAAUUUGACUCAACACGGGAAACCUCACCAGGCCCGGACACUGGAAGGAUUGACAGAUUGAUAGCUCUUUCUUGAUUCAGUGGGUGGUGGUGCAUGGCCGUUCUUAGUUGGUGGAGCGAUUUGUCUGGUUAAUUCCGAUAACGAACGAGACUCUAGCCUGUUAACUAGGCGUUUCUGGUAUCCACAAUAGUGCUACCAGCGAAUAAAUUUCUUCUUAGAGGGACAGGCGGCUUCUAGCCGCACGAGACUGAGCAAUAACAGGUCUGUGAUGCCCUUAGAUGUCCUGGGCCGCACGCGCGCUACACUGAAGGAAUCAGCGUGUCUUCCCUGGCCGAAAGGUCCGGGUAACCCGUUGAACCUCCUUCGUGCUAGGGAUUGGGGCUUGCAAUUGUUCCCCAUGAACGAGGAAUUCCCAGUAAGCGCGAGUCAUAAGCUCGCGUUGAUUACGUCCCUGCCCUUUGUACACACCGCCCGUCGCUACUACCGAUUGAAUGAUUUAGUGAGGUCUUCGGACUGGUGCGCGGUGAUCGCCUCGUGUGGUCACCGA
rnacentral:rRNA from 1 species